AAGCAUCUCUGAAAAACAAAUUAGUUCAAAAAUUCCAAAAAGAAAGGUGUUGUGGUAUCAUGAAUUUUGAAGUGUGUGAUAACCUUGGUGACUACAAGGGGACCGUACAAAGGGAUAAAAUUCAUGUAUACGACAUGUGUGAAGCUGGCUGAUUAGAACCCAAGUAUAUCUCGCUUCAACUUCUGUCUUCGUCCAGAGAUUUUAAGUCAACCAAAUGUGGAUAACGUAUUUAUUGGGUUGUUUGUGUUUCAUUAUCGGAAUUUGAGUCACAAACUUAAGGGCCUGAGCUUUGUAUUAUCCACACGAUUUAUUCAUCUCACUGUAGCCGAACUCCUGAUUUUGAACCGCAUCUUGCAGACAUCGAGUUUUAUCGGGCGAAUCAGAAGGAUUGAUACGAUCUACUUGACGAGGGCUUCCAAAGAUGACGAGUCUGGGACUUGGAUGAUGUUCCACUUCCACACUUCUCCGCCUCUUCUUCGUCGUGGCUUCUUCAUUGAGGACACAAAGAAGACCACAACAACAAUUGAAGAGCAGCCCAGUUAAACAAAUGAAGCACCCAAGCUACACCACAGUCAACACGUCUCUUCGUGUAUCAGAUUAGAGAAGCAGGCCGGUGCAUGUGCAAAGAUGAAGGAGCAAUUCAUCACUCCAAAUAGGUUUGAUAUUCUCCAUUCUCAAGCCAAUCACUCAACAUUUGAUAAGCAUCGUUUGAAAUCAAUAAUAUUGAGAUUUCAUAUUGUUUUACUUUGGUGUAUAAAACCCUUUUGAGUGAAUGUAAUACGUAAGAUGAAACCAAUAAUAUGAGAUUUUUCUAUAAAUUUAUUUUAAUUCACAAUGGCAGCAUCCUUCUGUGUCUAAA